UACAGAGGGUGCAAGCGUUGUUCGGAAUUAUUGGGCGUAAAGCGCACGUAGGCGGUUUGUUAAGUCGGAUGUGAAAUCCCUCGGCUCAACUGAGGAAGUGCAUCCGAAACUGGCAAGCUUGAGUACGAAAGAGGGUCGCGGAAUUCCCGGUGUAGAGGUGAAAUUCGUAGAUAUCGGGAGGAACACCGGUGGCGAAGGCGGCGACCUGGGUCGAUACUGACGCUGAGGUGCGAAAGCGUGGGGAGCAAACAGG
rnacentral:rRNA from 1 species